AGCGGUAGAAGUUCACCAACACAGUCGUGAGUGAACAGGGAGUACAACCUUGGACAGCAGCCUUGUUCCAGUGCUCGGGCAUCCUGAUGCCUAAGGAGGGAAGGAGGACCUCUUCCCUCACAGAAGGCAUUUAGUUUAGUAGCCCUGAGAUACAGGAACUGCAUUUCAUGAUCCAAAAUCCAAUGAAAGAAAUUAGGUGGAAGCUGCUGAGAGAAAAACAAACAUUUUCUUAAAUGACAAAUUUCACCGUGUUGCAGGUUUUGGAAAGAAGAUGAUCUCUUGCUGUACCUUAGAUGAGUUACAACUUGUAGUUACUUUUAGAAAAUAGAGUGCAGACUUUGACAGGAGACUGAAUGCUUUGAAUAUGGCUGCAUCCUUCUAAAAUGCAUUAAGGCAUCAUUUGUGUGCAGCGUCAGCUGAUUGUGUUUGAAAGUUUUCCAUCUUUGCCGGAGCUGUAUAAUGAAAUGAUAGUGGCAAUUAAGGGGUUUGAUAAUGAUUAAACCUUUUCAAUAGAAAACUUAACUAACUAAUGGCAACUUUUAAAAAUAAAUGGUUUGCUUUUUCUUCUUGUAGCCUUACAAAAUGUAUCACAUUCACUACCACCAGUUUAAUGCACAGAAACAUGGGCAUCAUUGAAUAAACUUGUACAAGAAGUUAAACAUGAUGACCGGAGUCUGUGAUACAGCCCUGCAGUUUUGGGCUCUAUGUACAUUGUUUUUCCGAUAAGGUUGGCAUAUAAUAUGUACAUAUGUAUAAACACAUUGUGGUGGAAAGUAUGAAUUAACCAACAUCUGUAUUCAACCAAACUGAAAUUUCAUGCUUGUUACAUUGAUGUUAAAAUGGCAUCAAGUAAUCAUUAUGAUUUAUAUGAAUAUCUCUGAGAUUGUACCAUUGCUGGCUGACUUAAUAGGACCCUCCAGUCAAAUGAAGAGAUUUCCUCAGGGAUGGGUAAUGCUUGACAAGCAUGAGACAGAGUUCAGUCAUCUGCUGCCUUCAUCCAACAUAGAGAGGACUCAAUCCUCUUCAAAGCUGGAGGAACUAGUACAGUGUGCAAAUCAAUCCCACUUGUAUGUUACGUCCACUUACCUGACUGAUGCAUCUGUUCCAUUUAUACACAUUUACAUUUCAAAGAAGCAAUUGGAGUUUCUUUUUAAGGACUGUAACAACAAUGUCUUAUCCAAGGUUUGAACCUACAACUUCCACUUACAAAACCAGAGCCCUAUCCACUACUCCACCUCACGACAACCACAAUUGAAGGUGACCCUGCUUUAAGAAUGGAAAAUAAUCAGGCUAAAAAUAUGUCAAAAUCUUGUCUAACACAAGUACUGAUCAAACUGUUUUGCUGCUCACAGAGGUAAAUCAUUCAGUAAGGAGAUUCCUAAUGUAUUUGUCAUUGUGUGAAUUAUUUGGAAUCCAGCUGCCUUUUUACACCCCAUUGUUUUCAAUUUCUAGGAAAAUGCUUAAAAUGCUGAAAGAAAGGAAAUUUCAUCUUCAAACCUAAAACACUUAAUAGCACCAGUCCCAAUUGUCAGCUUUUAUAACCAAGAACUCCUGGUGCAAACAUUGUAGAUUUAUGGUGAAAGCAAGUGUUUGAAAAAAAGUGUUCUUUUGUAAUAUGUAUUUUCACAAAAAUAGCCUCACAGAAAAAAACCCACAAAAACAUGUAACCAUUAAAUGGCCAAGUUGACACUGUUAACACUGUGCUUUGGUAUAAGAAAAAACCUGUUAUCAUUUCAGAACUCCUCUGUUGUUCAUGAAUUCAAUUUAGAAUUUAUUAUUCUUGUCUGUUAUAAUAAAUGUGUUUUAGCUUUAAGAAAGUAGUUCAAAACUGGAAUCGUAUUAAAUAUAUUAUGCAUUCUGCUCUAAAUUACAACCUUGACAGGAAGAGCCGUCAGCAGGUUUAGUCUCUUGAUGUCAUUGUAGAGUAGCUACAGUCUAUUGGAAAACUGCAUAAAAAACUGGCAGUGUUUUGUAGGAUGUAAACACUACAGUUAAAGCAUUUAUUAUUGUGCAAAAUUAUAUCUGUCUGUGCUGCUAGACUGGCCUCUACAGAAAAGCAGACAGUUUUUUAUUUUGGAGUUUAAAUGAUGGAUUACGGUUACAAGAGGGCAAUACAAAAGUUCACUGUGUGGAACAAAACCUUGUGACUGAUAUAUUUCAAAACGGUUUUCCCUCGGCUAUGUGACCUAUAACUUACUCUGUAAGCUUUGUGUUGAAUUGGAAUUACAUUGAAAUUUGUAAGUCUGCAUUGGGUAUUAGGAUACAACUUUACACUUUCCAUCCAUCUACUCUUGUUCCAGAGGACUGGGUUCUUUGAUCAAUAUGUAUGCAUUUAUAUACAGUACAUAUUUUACAUACUGUCUGCAGUACUUUUGACAAUGUGAAUUUACUUUUUUUUGGAAUCCUUAUAAAUGCUGUUUGCUCUAUUUUCUAUUAUUUCUCUUUAAACACACAUUCACAAAUUAUAAGAAAGUUAUAAACUAAAGGCCAUUCUAUAUAUGGAAAAUUAUAUUUUUAAUUGAUUCAUUUUUUAAGUUAAUGUGUACAAUGGCAUUACAAAUAAUAAGGCCCUCAACGUUUCCAGUGUACUUUUCAGUGUUCUGUGAGGUGCUCUGUGUGCGUAACCUCUUAUUUGUCAUGACAUCAUAGGAGGAUGGAAGUGACAUUUAUAAGCUUUUUAAACUUUAAAAGAAGGGUUUCAACUGAUCCACAGAUGAUGAGGACCUCAUACAUAUGACAAUGAUAUGUCAUAAGAACAUAUCAUGUUAAAAACAGAAAGAGGCCAUUUGGCCCAUCAAGCUCCUUUGUUUGCUAGGUGCAAAUUGAUUAAAAGAUUUCAUUUAGCAGCUUCUUGAAAUAAAAUAGGAUAUCGGCUUCAAAAACAUAGCUGAGUAGCUUGUUCCAGACUUCUCCUGUGAAGCGUUCUGUUUUCAGAUUUAAUACACUUCCUCUGUUCUGUGUUUAGCUGAUUAUUCUGGAAACAUCCAUUAGGUUUUGUCAAUGUGUAUGAGAACUCUAUAUAUGUAGAUCGUUUCCUUUUGUAAACUAAAUCUUUUUAGUCUCAAACAGAGAAAACUUCAGAGUACAAAAAGACUAUAGGAUAUUCCUCUGAGACUGUUAAUGUAACUGGUUGCUGUUCUCUGAACUAUUAUAAAUUUAUUCAUAUUGAAAGUAGUCAAUGUUCUUCUGAGGUCAUUAUAGUGCAUUAUAAAAUUUUAACAUAACAUCUGUUGACCAAAAGGUUAUGCUUUUCACUAUAUAUCCUAACAUUCUGUUUGACUUUUUAUUGAAUUUUCACAUUGUUGUAUACUGUAUGUGUCAUCAUGAACA